rnacentral:rRNA from 1 species
UACGUAGGGUGCGAGCGUUGUCCGGAAUUAUUGGGCGUAAAGAGCUCGUAGGCGGUGUGUCACGUCGGCCGUGAAAACCUGCAGCUUAACUGUGGGCGUGCGGUCGAUACGGGCAUCACUGGAGUUCGGCAGGGGAGACUGGAAUUCCUGGUGUAGCGGUGAAAUGCGCAGAUAUCAGGAGGAACACCGGUGGCGAAGGCGGGUCUCUGGGCCGAUACUGGCGCUGAGGAGCGAAAGCGUGGGGAGCAAACAGG